GCCAAAGUGGCGGAAUUGGUAGACGCGCACGACUCAAACUCGUGUUCCUUUGGGAGUGAGGGUUCGAUCCCCUCCUUUGGUA
rnacentral:tRNA from 1 species